rnacentral:rRNA from 1 species
GUAUACGAAGGNGCAAGCAUGUUCGNUUUACUGGCGUAAAGCGUAUGUANGUGGAUUUAUAGUCAGAUGUGAAAGCCCAAGGCUCAACCUUGGAAUUGCAUUUGNAACUAUGAAUCUAGGUGGUAAUAGAGGAUAACNGAACUCCGAGUGUAGAGGUGGAAUUCGUAGAUAUUCGGAAGAAACAUCAGUGGCGAAAGCGGUUAUCUGGAUUAUUUAUGACACUGAGAUACGAAAGCAUGGGGAGCAAACAGGAUUAGAUACCCUGGUAGUCCAUGCCGUAAACGAUGAGAGUUAAUUGUUAGAUUUUUUUUAAUUUAGUGAUUGAGUUAACGCAUUAAACUCUCCGCCUGGGAAGUACGAUCGCAAGAUUAAAACUUAAAGGAAUUGACGGGGACCCGCACAAGUAGUGGAGCAUGUUGUUUAAUUCG